rnacentral:rRNA from 1 species
GAGUAACACGUGGAUAACCUACCUAUAAGACUGGGAUAACUUCGGGAAACCGGAGCUAAUACCGGAUAAUAUUUUGAACCGCAUGGUUCAAAAGUGAAAGACGGUCUUGCUGUCACUUAUAGAUGGAUCCGCGCUGCAUUAGCUAGUUGGUAAGGUAACGGCUUACCAAGGCAACGAUGCAUAGCCGACCUGAGAGGGUGAUCGGCCACACUGGAACUGAGACACGGUCCAGACUCCUACGGGAGGCAGCAGUAGGGAAUCUUCCGCAAUGGGCGAAAGCCUGACGGAGCAACGCCGCGUGAGUGAUGAAGGUCUUCGGAUCGUAAAACUCUGUUAUUAGGGAAGAACAUAUGUGUAAGUAACUGUGCACAUCUUGACGGUACCUAAUCAGAAAGCCACGGCUAACUACGUGCCAGCAG